GGAAACCUUACUAGGGUAAGACAUUGGUAUGAUUGACAGAUUACUUGAUCUUUCUUGAUUUGGUGGGUGGUGGUGCAUGGCCGAUCUUAGUUGGUGGGGUGAUUUGUCUGGUUAAUUCCGUUAACGAACGAGAUCUUAACCUGCUAAAUAGUGGUGCGUAUCUCCGGAUAUGCAUAUCACUUCUUAGAGGGACUUUGUUACAUUUAAGUUCAAGGAAGUUUGAGGCAAUAA
rnacentral:rRNA from 1 species